UACGGAGGGUGCAAGCGUUAUCCGGAUUCACUGGGUUUAAAGGGUGCGUAGGUGGGCAGGUAAGUCAGUGGUGAAAUCUCCGGGCUUAACCCGGAAACUGCCAUUGAUACUAUUUGUCUUGAAUACUGUGGAGGUCAGCGGAAUAUGUCAUGUAGCGGUGAAAUGCUUAGAUAUGACAUAGAACACCAAUUGCGAAGGCAGCUUACUACACAAUGAUUGACGCUGAGGCACGAAAGCGUGGGGAUCAAACAGG
rnacentral:rRNA from 1 species